UAUCUGGUUGAUCCUGCCAGUAGUCAUAUGCUUGUCUCAAAGAUUAAGCCAUGCAUGUCUAAGUAUAAGCACUUGUACUGUGAAACUGCGAAUGGCUCAUUAAAUCAGUUAUCGUUUAUUUGAUUGUACCUUUACUACUUGGAUAACCGUGGUAAUUCUAGAGCUAAUACAUGCGGAAAGUCCCGACUUCUGGAAGGGAUGUAUUUAUUAGAUUCAAAACCAAUGCGGGUUCUGCCCGGUCAUUUGGUGAUUCAUAGUAACUGUUCGAAUCGCAGGGCCGCGCGCCGGCGAUGUUUCAUUCAAAUUUCUGCCCUAUCAACUGUCGAUGGUAAGGUGUUGGCUUACCAUGGUUACAACGGGUGACGGAGAAUUAGGGUUCGAUUCCGGAGAGGGAGCCUGAGAAACGGCUACCACAUCCAAGGAAGGCAGCAGGCGCGCAAAUUACCCAAUCCUGACUCAGGGAGGUAGUGACAAGAAAUAACAAUACAGGGCUUUUCUAAGUCUUGUAAUUGGAAUGAGU
rnacentral:ncRNA from 1 species